GUAUAAUCUAGUGGACGGAACGCUUCUUUCUACAGCAACAACAGUUCGCCAGACACCUCGGAGAGAGACGGGACUAUCGUGGAGCCUCAACAAAAUCAUGAUGCUAACAAGGCAGAAAACAGUCCUUCCAGACAAAACACCCCAAGAAACACCUGCAGAGACCCACAAGGAAGAGAACUCACCCAUGCUCUGACUGUGGAAAGAGUUUUGUUUCUUCAGGAUGUUUAAAAUCACACCAGAGAACACACACAGGAGAGACACCUUAUAGCUGUGAUCAAUGUGGGAAGAGAUAUGUUACAUCUAGCGGUCUGACUAAACACCAGAGAACGCACACAGGAGAGAAAUCUUAUAGCUGUAUUCAAUGUGGGAAGAGUGUUACUCAGUCAGCCUGAUAUUACACCAGAGGAUACACACAGGAGAGAAAUCUUAUAUCUGUGCGCAAAUGCGGGAAGAGAUUCACCUCAGCAAACAUUAAAGUUCACCAGAAAAUCCACACAGGAGAGACCUUUUUGCUGCUCUGACUGUGGAACGAGUUUUGUUCGCUCAGGACAAUUAAAAUCAUACCAGAGAACACACACAGUAGAGAAACCUAGCUGUAAUCAAUGUGAGAAGAGUUUUACUCAGUCAGGCAACCUGGUAUCACACCAGAGAACACACACAGGAAAUAAUAAUUUUAGCUGUGAGGAAUGUGGAAAGAGUUUUACUACAUCAAACCAUCUUAUUGUACACCAGAGAACACACACAGGAGAGAAAUCUCAUAACUGAUCAAUGUGACAAGAGAUACUCUGAUCAAUCAUCAGAAAAUACAUGGAGGAGUUGUUUCAUGAUAUAAAUGAUGUCACAAUGUAGAAUGUUUUACCAUUUUAGAAGGAGUAUUUUAAUGAUGUCACAAUGUAGAACCCUAAACGUUUGUCGCCUGUUCUAUUGAUUUCAGCAUGAUAUGGAUAUUAGCCUCAGGGGGAAAAUCCAGGCUCUGAAUUGAAAGAGUACUAUUUAUGUGAUUUAACAAAAGGUGACUAACAAAAAAUAGCUGUUACACUUACCACGUUGGUGACCCACUUGAAUCAAAAUGCAACACUUCAAAAUGUAGCUAGCUGUUUUUUUUUACAAAUUGUCCUCUAACCAAUGAUUUACACAUUAUUCCCAGAUUCCUUGUGGGUUUUGCUGUGUUGGUUUUAACAGGAUGUGCAACCUGAUUUCCCCCCAAAUCGAUAUCAGUGAUUUAUUGCUACUUGUGCAGUUUUUAAGGUGCUUGUUUAAAAAAAUAAAAGUAAUAUGAUUUCUGUG